rnacentral:lncRNA from 1 species
GUUCCCUUUGUGGUUACAGUCCUCCAUCUUGUGAAAGUGAGUGAUCACAUUAUUAAUUGAAAUUAUGGCUACAAAUUCUUGUUCCACGAAGCACACGAUACAAUCAUUUAUAAAUACAUCUCUAAUAAGAUUUUAUAGUAUUGACCGAUGCAGUGGCAACGUGAAGCACUAGUACUAGCUUGAGAAGCCAAUACAUAUGGCACUCCAAAAUUUCUAUUUUAGAAUGUUAUUAGGAAACACUAAAAUAAAAUGAAGGAUGUGAAAUUUUUAUAAAAAAUAUUCCAAGAUUUAAUUAAUUGUUUUCAUUUAAAAAAGAGAAAAAUGUAGAAUUUUAAAACUUUUUGUAACACCCAAAAAUCUGUUUUAAAUUAAAAGGGAUUAAUUUGAUUUAAUUAAGCAUUUUUGUGCGCAUUUAAAUUUAGCACUUAAAUAAUUUUUUGUCAAAAUUAAAAUUUAUCAUAAGAUUAGAAACUUGUUUAUGCAUUCAUGCUGAAGAAUAUUUUAUUUUGUAUUGUUUGCCUCUAGCUUGAAUUUAUUUGCAUUCAAAAUUUUAUUUGGAAAAGAAAACAGAAAGUAAAAUAAAAAAAAGAGAAAAACCCCAGCCAGCCCAGCUGUCCCCCUGGCCUUCCCGGCCCAGCUCCCCUCUCCCCCUUCCCUUUUUCUCCCCCGCGCCCCGGCCCACUUCUUUCUUCUCGGCCCAGCAGCGCGCGCCUCCCUUCCCCUCUUCUCUCUCUGACCCGCAGGCCCCGCCCCCUUCUCUCACUGCGACACGGGACCCACGCGUCAGUGCCCGUCUCCCUCCCCCAGCCGUGAACAAACGGGACUCAGGCCGAGCACAGCGCUGCCGAAUCCAAUUCCUGGGAUUCGCGAUUUCCUUGCCGUUUUGCGCGAACCGAGGCCCUAUAAAGUACCCCGCGAUGCCCUGAGUCGUGUUUUUGCAUCU